AUCGAGGUCGAAUAGUUUGAGGAAGUUCAGAAGUUGUAUAAAGUAUAAACUUUAUAUGUAAAAGCUUAUAGUAUAGGUUCGAAUCCUAUUCUCGAUC
rnacentral:tRNA from 1 species